AGUCCUAUGGUUUAGUGGUAUAACGUUCGCUUCACAUAUCGGAGUGCGCGAAAGGUCCUGGGUUCGAUCCCCAGUGGGACUA
rfam:Clohesyomyces aquaticus strain CBS 115471 BCR34scaffold_27, whole genome shotgun sequence.